AGCAGCCGCGGUAAUUCCAGCUCCAAUAGCGUAUAUUAAAGUUGUUGCAGUUAAAAAGCUCGUAGUUGAAUUUCGGGAUCAGUAGGUCGGUCGUGCCACUGGUAUGAACUGGUCUCACUGGUUCCUCCCUCUUGACGAACUGCAAUGCUAUUAAUUUAGUGUAGUAGGAAAUCAGGACUGUUACUUUGAAAAAUUAGAGUGUUUAAAGCAGGCUUUGGCUUGAAUACAUUAGCAUGGAAUAAUGAAAUAGGACGUUCGAUCCUAUUUUGUUGGCUUCUAGGAUUGACGUAAUGAUUAAUAGGGACAGUUGGGGGCAUUAGUAUUCAAUUGUCAGAGGUGAAAUUCUUGGAUUUAUUGAAGACUAACUACUGCGAAAGCAUUUGCCAAGGAUGUUUUCAUUAACCAAGAACGAAAGUUAGGGGAUCGAAGACGAUCAGAUACCGUCGUAGUCUUAACCAUAAACUAUGCCGACUAGGGAUCGGAUGAUGUAAUUUUUAAUGG
rnacentral:rRNA from 1 species